UCUUCUAGGCCCGCCUGUAACCUCUGAUGUUGAUAUCGGGACUCUUCAUGCCAAAAACCCAUUAGACCUUUGGAAAAAGGUUUUUGAAAGGGUUUUCCCACCUGAGAACAUCAAGGAACGUAAGGAGCUGAAAGAUCCUGCCAAAGACCCCCAGUACAGUGAGCCCCUUAUAGACUCUAUCAGAGCUCAGAAAGACCAGGAGCUGGAGCAGUACAAGAGAAAACAAGCAAAGUCAUGGAAAAGUUUGGCUCUGGAUCCAUAGAU